rnacentral:hammerhead_ribozyme from 1 species
GCACUGCUGAGGAGUCCCAUAAUAGGACGAAACGGCCGUC